AUAGGAGCUAGUACAUCCCUGGAGGAAUCCAAAUAUCUGGAAAAACUCCGGAGUGAUGUGGACAGCCAGCGUGAUGCAGCCAGCACCUCAACACAUUCUGACAUCAUCUGGAAAAGCAUGAGAAGAGUUUUCUGCUGGGGAACACCUUGUUUGAUUAAGUUGAUUGCCAUUGUGGCUGGUGCGGCACUGUGCCUGAUGAUGUGCUAUGCCGCAAUCUGGUAUUGCUGGACGAGAAAAUGGUGCUCCAGUGCGUCUUCAGCAGAUGAGCCUAACAACACAGGCAAUGAGAACUUGAGAAUUUAUCCCACCUCUUCACUUCUGCCCCUAUCUGCCCUGCCAUGGCUGCAUCCCCGCCAUGAGGCCGUCCCAAAACCCACCCCUCCUCAACG